rnacentral:rRNA from 1 species
CCUACGGGAGGCAUCAGUGAGGAAUAUUGGUCAAUGGACGAGAGUCUGAACCAGCCAAGUAGCGUGAAGGAUGACUGCCCUAUGGGUUGUAAACUUCUUUUAUAUGGGAAUAAAAUGUUCCACGUGUGGGAUUUUGUAUGUACCAUAUGAAUACGGAUCGGCUAACUCCGUGCCAGCAGCCGCGGUAAUACGGAGGAUCCGAGCGUUAUCCGGAUUUAUUGGGUUUAAAGGGAGCGUAGGUGGAUUGUUAAGUCAGUUGUGAAAGUUUGCGGCUCAACCGUAAAAUUGCAGUUGAAACUGGCAGUCUUGAGUACAGUAGAGGUGGGCGGAAUUCGUGGUGUAGCGGUGAAAUGCUUAGAUAUCACGAAGAACUCCGAUGGCGAAGGCAGUUCACUGGACUGCAACUGACACUGAGGCUCGAAAGUGUGGGUAUCAAACAGGAUUAGAUACCCUAGUAGUC